rnacentral:lncRNA from 1 species
ACUUCCUCUCCCCAAGUACAGCGGAGUCGGUCAGCGCCCCGAUAGUACUCGCUCUGAAGUGUGUACAAGAGUCCCGGAUCAUCAAAACUUAAACUUUCCUUUCUACCAGGGUUCCAGAAAAUUGGCCCAUGGGGACAGCAAGCAAGCAUUUUAACGCGCACCCUUCGGUUGCAUAAGAAUUCCGGCAUAACAGGUAACAAUCACAGAGGAGACAAACGGGAUGCGAUCGACUGGACGGUACGAAACGGCCUUUCGAGAUCACAAGUCUGCGGCGCAAACCCAAAGUUUGGAGCACACUCCUUAGGAGUUCACUCGACAACCGUCGCCACCGACCCAGACGAAGAACGCUGAGAAAAUGGGUGCCCGAGGAAUCAACACAUCCGCAUUCAUCUCGAGAUUGAAAUACAGCUGAUAAAUGCAUGAGACUAAGCAUCACAUCCUGCAGAAGCAACUGCAGUGCAGGGCAACCGUUCCCAGCCUCUUCCUUGCAGAAGCAACUGCAGUGCACGGCCACCAUUCCCGGCCUCUUCCCAGCUGCCUUCCCAGGGAGCAAGCACACUUAACUCUUUCUGGUGUCUCUGUCGUCAUCUAGAGAACGCACAUGCUAUGCUUAUAACACCAGCUUCUUUCUCUUUUCAAGACUUAUUUCUAUUUAUGUGCAUGUACAUAUUUGCGUAUGGACUUGCACGUGUGUACAGGUACCCAAAGAGGCCAGGAGAGGGCACUGGAUCUCCUGACCCUAGAAUUACAGGAAAUGGUGAACUGCCCAAUGUAGGUGCUGCUGGGAACCGAACUCUACUUCUCUUUGUCCAAGUCUGGUGACCAUAUUGGAACAUAUAUGAGAAUAAGAUCCUAAGUAACCUAUUUGGGGGCUCUGUGUUUGUAGUAUACUUCAUUCACUGGAGAACUUGACUAGUGAAACUCUAAAUGACAAAUUUGUAUUGGCACUUUCUCUUUUUAAAGUAUUAAUGGAUGCCACUUGUGUGCAUGUAUGUGGGGGCCAGAAGAAGACAUUCGGUUCCCUGGAGCUGCAGUUUCAGGAGGUUGUGAGGUACCUAAUGUUUGUGCUAGGAACUGAACUUUUGAACUGCAGUCAGUGCUUUUAACUGCUGAGCUAUCUCUCCAGCCCAUUGUUCUUUUUUCAUUGUUCAUUUGUUUUUCUCUUAUGGGUUUUUUGUUUUCAUUUUUCUUAAGCCAAAAUUUCUCUAUGUAGCCCUGGCUGGCCUUGAACUCACAGAGAUCCAUCUGCCUCUGCCUCCAUGCCCAGCCUCCUGUUCUUAUUUUUUGAGACCAGAUCUCAGCAUGUAGUCCAGGAUGCCUUGGAACUCCAGAUGCCCCUGCCUCAGCCCCCUGAGCAUUGGAUUACAGACCUACAUUAAUAUUUUCAAGGGGUGACACAUUAGGCUAUCACAAUGCUGGAUGAGAAAGAUAGCAAGAGAAAUCGGAUGACAGCCAAGUGGCACUUUAGAAUACUGGGGUUUCUGGAUCUAGUGACAGCUUAGUGCAGAGGAAUGUGGACAGCCAAGUCCUCUGUUAUGAAAUGUCAGAAACCCGGGCACAUUUGACCUGGAAUGUAUCUGUAUUUGCUCUGGGGUCUACAUGCUUCCUCAGCAAGGGAGGAGGGCAGGAAGAGUGUGAAACCAAGAUCCAAGUACACACUGUUUAAGGAGGACUUCAUGCCCAAGGCACAGUUCCUAGAGAGCUUGCUAGCUCUUCUCUAACACAUCACUGCUGUCUGGAUAGGGAUGGCCAGAGCACGUGUGUGUAUUAGUGAUAGCUCUCCAAAGAAACACAUCAAUAGGAUAUAUAUAGAUUUAUAAGAAGAGGUUUAGUUAGGAAUUGGCUCACGCGAUUAUAGAGGUCAAGGGAUCUCACCAUCUGCUGUCUGUAAAGCUGGAGAGCCAGUAAAGCAUGUGGUAUAAUUUAUCCUGAAGCCGCAGGCCUCGGGGUGUCAAAGUGAGGGAGUGGGGGCUGGGGGAGAAUAUUGUUCUAGCUUCUGUGAUAAAAAACGCUCUGACUGAAAGUACCAGAGGAGGAAAGGGGUUACUUGGCUUUAAUUUCAGAUUACAAUCCAUCACUGAGGCAAGGCAGGGCAGGAACCUGGAAGGAACUGGGAGGAAAUUCGGCCUGCUGGCUUAUUCUCAGGUUCAUGCUUAGCUAACUUUCUUAUACAGGACCACCUUCCUAGGUAUGGUGUUGCCCACAGUGGGCUGGUCACUCCUGCAUCCAUCAAUAGCCAGCCCCCUACAGAUAAAUUCACAGGCUAAUCUGUGUAGGCAAUUCUUCUCAACUGAGACUUUCCUUUGAGAUGACUCUAGUCUGUGUCAAGUUGUCAGUUAAACUAAUUAGGACAGGUUUGUUCUGAGAAGACAGGAGGAAAAGGAUGCCUUACCCUGAUUUGGGGAUGGGGUAAGUGGAGAAGAUUGGGAGGAUAGAAAGAGGAGAGAAAAUAUGAGACUUUUUCCUAGGAGGAGACAACACACACACCUCUCCUUACCCAAAAAUGGAAGUCACAGCAGAUCAAUGUAUGGGUUACACCAAAGUCUAAGUUGGUGAACUUUCAAGUUGUUAUUAGGGUUAUCGACAGCAGCAUGGGUGACUCAGAAAAGCCCACCUCAACACCAGUUGCCUACCCAGCAACCCACAGGCAAUUAACAGUCCUCAGUAGUUUCUGCAGCUCAGCUGUCACUUCCCCCCUCCCCCGUCCCCUCCCCCGUCCCCACUUGGGUAUUCACUCCUUUUCUAAAGCUAGGGAGGGACUUCAAUAAUCUUCCAAAUUUUGACUUUCCCAGACAUGACCUUUUCUUUACCUCUUAAGACUCUUUGAGUCUAUCCCUGCUUCCUGAGUAAAGUGUCACACAACAUAUGCCAUGCCUGUCAACCAAGCCCUGGAGGAGGCCAGCCUGGCUACAGAAUGAGGCCCUGCAUCAAAGAAAAAACAAAAUGUGUACCUCCAUGUAUAUGUAGGAGAAAGUGUCAUAGCCAAACAUAUUCUUUUAUAUAAUUACUAGUCACUGAUUUUAAAAAAAGAAAAAAAAUCUGCAAAGCAUAACACAAAUGUCACAUGAAAUACCGAGAAAAUCAACAUGAUUUGCCUCAUGGGCUUAGAGAACUUAGUCGAUGACUGAGUAGCUUCUUUGCUUGGGCCUGGCAAGGUAGAAUGGGUGGUGGAGCAAUACCAGGCACCUUGUAAGAAGGGACUGAGAGGAGGAAGAUGGGGACAGGGUUCCACCAUGCUCUUGAAGGCCAUGUUUCCAGUGACCUAAAAAUCUUCCCCACUAGGCCUCACCUCCUACAGACUCCACUAGUUCCCAAAAAUGGCUUCUUGGAGGGCUAGCCUUCACUACUUGGACCUCUGUGAAAUGUUUAACUUGCAAACAAACUACAGCACUUGCCUUUCUAUGCUGUGGGGCUUCAGUGGGUUGGCUAAUGGUUGCUUGCAUUGACAAAGAGGCUAUUCUUUAUUCAGUGCACUGGUCCAAUGUAAAUUUCCUUCCAACCCCCUCUUACUAAAAUGUCUAGAAACUGUUUAACUAGCACCUGAACAUCCCUUACAGUUAAGGCCACACCUAAAGUUAGUAGUUAUGACUUGUCAAAGGAAGUGCACUUCAAACAGCAGUAAUCACACACAGCCUAAAGGAAAGCCUGCCUGCUGGGAGAUCAAGAUCACCAUUAACCACUUUCUCGUACAAGCAUUUUACACGUAGUCUUAACACUAACUGGGUUGCAGAGUCCUGGAACUGGAGUUAUUAGUGACUUCGAGUUGCCAUGUGGGUGCUGAGGACCAAAUGUGGGUCCUUUGCAAGAAGGGUAGUAGGUGCUCUUAAUGACUUGAAUCAUCUCUCCAGCCCCCUCAACUCUUUUUUAUGACAGUUUUUUUUGUUCUUGUUGUUAGAAGAGUAAUCAAGAGCCGGAUGGUGGUGGUGUGUGCCUUUGAUCCCAGCACUAGGGAGGCAGAGGCAGACGGAUCUCUGAGUUUGAGGCCAGCUUGGUUUACAAAGUUCUAGGACAGGCAGGGCUACAUAGAGAAAUCCUGUCUUGAACAUCCCUCCUACCCUCACAAAAAAGUAAUCAGUAACUAAUUCCAAUGUGCAUACUUUUUGGGUACAGACCCCAUACUUUUGUCCAUUUCUCUUGACCGUUAGCUGCGUUUGUCGCAUGUGGUAAUCUAUGCUUGUGAUUCUAGCACUCAGGAAACUGGUGUAGGAAGUUUACAAGUUCAGACGCAGCUUGGGCUGGUCUUUUUGAGAUCAUGACUGCCCCCUCAAGCCCCAAUCUUGAUAAUGUGUUCUUGAGUUAUUGAAAAUACAAAUAGUAUGCUAAUAGAUACAAUAUCAAAUAGAACCGUAGGAUGAUCAAUAUAUUUUUGCAAAAACACUGUCAUGAAACUUGUCUUAAGAGAUUCAAAGUAUCAGAGCUGCAAAUUUGGGGGCUGGAGAGCUGACUCGGGAGCACUGGUUGCUCUUCCAGAGCACUCAGGUUCAAUUCACACCCUCUAAGUCCAGGGGACCUGAUACACUCUCGGAGGCCUCCUCGGUUUCCAGACACGCACUUAGCAUGCAUGCAUACAUGUAGGUAAAACACUCAUACACAUUAAAAAGACAAAAACAGAAAAACAAGGGCUGGAGAGAUGGCUCUGAAGAACACUUGCUGUUCUUCCAGAGGUCCUGAGUUCAAUUUCCAGCAACCACAUGGUGGCUCACAGCCAUCUGUAAUGGGAUCUGACGUCCUAUUCUGGUGUGCAGGCACACAUGCAGACAGAACACUGUAUAUAUAAUAAAUAAAUCUUUAAAAAAACAAAACAAAAAACCCAAAAUGUUCUUUAGCUGGAGAGAUGACUCAGCAGUAGAGUGCUCACUGCUGCCUUGCGGUGCUCAGCGACCAGCACUCCUGCAUGAGGGCUUAGAAGAGCCUGGUUCUCCUGCUCUAGGGGAUUUGGUGUCCUCUUUCGGCUGUUGUGAGCAACUGCAUGCACAUGAGUAUUAAUCCCACACAAACCUAUAUAGUACACAUAAGUAAAAAUCUUUUAAAUUAAAAAAAAAGUGAUGUUGGUACCGUAGUGAUAUUAUUUGAUUUCCAGGAAGUUCAGAAUGUGUUGUCACUAAGCAUAUGUGGGUGUUAUAGCAACCUGCUAUAAAUUCUCUAUAUUCUGGGUAAAGUCCUAUACUGAUCAGAUAACAGAUACAGGGGUAGUUGGGUUGGUGGGGAUAGUGAUAGUGAUGGUUGGUGGUUGCUAAGGCCUGGGGAACUGUUGCCUGUUUAGCCAUCCACCUUAUGCUGUUAUAAGGAAACUUUCUCAUGCCUGAGUUGAUUGCAUAUUCUGUUACGUUCUGUGCUUUGGUGUUCUUGUAAACCAGUCACAAUAGAGGUCAGAAUUGCUUUGUAUAGUUAGCUUGCUUGCUUGGGUCUGAACCAACCUCCCAGCAGCACUUCCUGCUGUAUGAACUUUUAGGGUUUUUGCCUUUAUAAGCUGCCCCUGGGAUCCCAACACAAGAGAGACAUCUACACCAAUAUAAGAAGCCAUUUGGAAUAAAACUUCCAUUUUCAUUUUAAGUAAGGGGUCAGAUAAAGUUUUGAGUUUUGGAGACCUCCCUGGGAAUUAACAUCAUACUUGUCAGAGUCAUAUACAAGGGUAACUGACGUCCUGGUUGGCAAGCUAAGACAUGAAUGUUAGGCAAGGUCUGUCCCUCCAUCACAAUUAAAUAACCCAAGUAUACAACAAAGACGUGUUCCUAAGGAAGUCUCCAUCCCUAAAUUCUGAUUGGUGGAAUAAUUUGGCAGAUGUUUAUGGAUUUCAGGCUUAAAAACCCUGUGCUAUUCUAGUUGGGAGUCACAGUUUAGCUCUUAAGUCUGAGCUGCCUCCCUGAUUGAUCAGUCUUGAGGUAUGCAUGCAAUAAAUCAGCCCUGUUUAACUGA